rnacentral:rRNA from 1 species
AGAGUUUGAUCCUGGCUCAGAACGAACGCUGGCGGCAUGCCUAACACAUGCAAGUCGAGCGAGAACCAAGAAGCUUGCUUCUUGGGGAGAGCGGCGCACGGGUGAGUAACGCGUGGAUAACGUGCCCAAGGGCUGGGGAUAACUUGCCGAAAGGCGGGCUAAUACCCAAUACGCUCAUAGGAGGUUCGCUUCUUAUGAGGAAAGCGGGGCAACUCGCACCCAUGGAUCGGUCCGCGUCCCAUCAGCUUGUUGGUAAGGUAACGGCUUACCAAGGCAUCGACGGGUAGCUGGUCUGAGAGGACGAUCAGCCACACUGGGACUGAGACACGGCCCAGACUCCUACGGGAGGCAGCAGUGGGGAAUAUUGGUCAAUGGGCGAAAGCCUGAACCAGCAAUGCCGCGUGAGUGAUGAAGGCCUUAGGGUUGUAAAGCUCUGUCAGCGGGAACGAACUGCCUUUGGUAACGCAAAGGUUUGACGGUACCCGCAAAGGAAGCACCGGCUAACUCUGUGCCAGCAGCCGCGGUAAUACAGAGGGUGCAAGCGUUGUUCGGAAUUACUGGGCGUAAAGCGCGUGUAGGCGGUAUGGUAAGUCGGACGUGAAAUCCCUCGGCUCAACCGAGGAACUGCAUUCGAAACUGCCAAACUAGAGUCUCGGAGGGGAUGGCGGAAUUUCCGGUGUAGAGGUGAAAUUCGUAGAU